AUCCUAAUAAGGCAUCUUGUUAGGAUGAAAGCUUUUGCGGCGAGAGAUGGGGUCGCGGCCCAUCAGGUAGUUGGCGGGGUAGCGGCCCACCAAGCUUACGACGGGUAGCCGGACUGAGAGGUCGAUCGGCCACAUUGGGACUGAGAUACGGCCCAGACUCCUACGGGAGGCAGCAGUGGGGAAUUUUGCGCAAUGGGGGAAACCCUGACGCAGCAACGCCGCGUGCGGGAUGACGGCCUUCGGGUUGUAAACCGCUUUCAGUAGGGACGAAUUUUGACGGUACCUACAGAAGAAGCCCCGGCUAACUACGUGCCAGCAGCCGCGGUAAUACGUAGGGGGCGAGCGUUAUCCGGAUUCAUUGGGCGUAAAGCGCGCGUAGGCGGUCUUUUAAGCGGGACCUCUAAUCUCAGGGCUCAACCUUGAGCCGGGUUCCGAACUAAAAGACUCGAGUGUGGUAGGGGAGAUCGGAAUUCCCGGUGUAGCGGUGGAAUGCGCAGAUAUCGGGAAGAACACCGAUGGCGAAGGCAGAUCUCUGGGCCAUUACUGACGCUGAGGCGCGAAAGCUAGGGGAGCAAACAGGAUUAGAUACCCUGGUAGUCCUAGCCGUAAACGAUGGGCACUAGGUGUGGGGAAAUCUUUUC
rnacentral:rRNA from 1 species